rnacentral:rRNA from 1 species
UUUCUUGCCGGAGGUAGUGCGACUGGAUGGCUAAUGGGCCCUACAAGGUUACUGACGUCAGCCAAACUCCGAAUGCCGGUAAGUGAGAGCGUAGCAGUGAGACUGUGGGGGAUAAGCUUCAUAGUCGAGAGGGAAACAGCCCAGAACGCCAACUAAGGCCCCUAAGCGUGUGCUAAGUGGAAAAGGAUGUGGAGU